CACGGGGGGAGCAAGCGUUGUUCGGAUUCAUUGGGCGUAAAGGGCUCGUAGGUGGCUUUGUAAGUCGGAGGUGAAAUCCCACGGCUCAACCGUGGACACGCCUUCGAAACCGUGGAGCUUGAGGCUGGGAGAGGAGAUCGGAAUUCCUGGUGUAGCGGUGAAAUGCGCAGAUAUCAGGAAGAACACCCGUGGCGAAGGCGGCUCUCUGGGACGGUACUGACGCUGAGACGCGAAAGCGUGGGGAGCGAACAGG
rnacentral:rRNA from 1 species